rnacentral:rRNA from 1 species
GACGAACGCUGGCGGCGUGCUUAACACAUGCCAGUCGAACGGAAAGGCCUGCUUUCCCUUGUGGAUUGCGGGUACUCGAGUGGCGAACGGGUGAGUAACACGUGAGUGAUCUGCCCCCAACUUGGGUAUAAGCCUGGGAAACUGGGUCUAAUUCCCGAUAGGACUGCAGGGUGGUGCCUGUGGUGGAAAACGAUUUUCUAGUGGUUGGGGAUGAGCUCGCGGCCUAUCAGCUUGUUGGUGGGGUAAUGGCCUACCAAGGCGGCGACGGGUAGCCGGCCUGAGAGGGUGGACGGCCACAAUGGGACUGAGAUACGGCCCAGACUCCUACGGGAGGCAGCAGUGGGGAAUAUUGCACAAUGGGCGGAAGCCUGAUGCAGCGACGCCGCGUGGGGGAUGACGGCCUUCGGGUGGUAAACUCCUUUCGACCGCGAGGAAGCCACCUGGUUGGAAGGGUGGUGACGGUAGUGGUAGAAGAAGCACCGGCUAACUACGUG